UACGUAGGGGGCAAGCGUUGUCCGGAAUCAUUGGGCGUAAAGAGCGUGUAGGCGGCUUGGUAAGUCCGCUGUGAAAGUUCAGGGCUCAACCCUGAAAUGCCGGUGGAAACUGUCGAGCUAGAGUCCGGAAGAGGCGAGUGGAAUUCCUGGUGUAGCGGUGAAAUGCGCAGAUAUCAGGAGGAACACCAAUGGCGAAGGCAGCUCGCUGGGACGGUACUGACGCUGAGACGCGAAAGCGUGGGGGGCAAACAGG
rnacentral:rRNA from 1 species